AGUAGGGAAUCUUCCGCAAUGGACGAAAGUCUGACGGAGCAACGCCGCGUGAGUGAUGAAGGUUUUCGGAUCGUAAAGCUCUGUUGUUAGGGAAGAACAAGUACCGUUCGAAUAGGGCGGUACCUUGACGGUACCUAACCAGAAAGCCACGGCUAACUACGUGCCAGCAGCCGCGGUAAUACGUAGGUGGCAAGCGUUGUCCGGAAUUAUUGGGCGUAAAGGGCUCGCAGGCGGUUUCUUAAGUCUGAUGUGAAAGCCCCCGGCUCAACCGGGGAGGGUCAUUGGAAACUGGGGAACUUGAGUGCAGAAGAGGAGAGUGGAAUUCCACGUGUAGCGGUGAAAUGCGUAGAGAUGUGGAGGAACACCAGUGGCGAAGGCGACUCUCUGGUCUGUAACUGACGCUGAGGAGCGAAAGCGUGGGGAGCGAACAGGAUUAGAUACCCUGGUAGUCCACGCCGUAAACGAUGAGUGCUAAGUGUUAGG
rnacentral:rRNA from 1 species